CUACGUGCCAGCAGCCGCGGUAAUACGUAGGUGGCAAGCGUUGUCCGGAAUUAUUGGGCGUAAAGCGCGCGCAGGCGGAUCUGCCAGUCUGUCUUAAAAGUUCGGGGCUCAACCCCGUGAUGGGAUGGAAACUACAGAUCUAGAGUAUCGGAGGGGAAAGUGGAAUUCCUAGUGUAGCGGUGAAAUGCGUAGAUAUUAGGAGGAACACCAGUGGCGAAGGCGACUUUCUGGACGAUCACUGACGCUGAGGCGCGAAAGCCAGGGGAGCGAACGGGACUAGAUACCCCGGUAGUCCUGGCCGUAAACGAUGGGUACUAGGUGUAGGAGGUAUCGACCCCUUCUGUGCCGUAGUUAACGCAGUAAGUACCCCGCCUGGGGAGUACGGCCGCAAGGUUGAAACUCAAAGGAAUUGACGGGGGCCCGCACAAGCGGUGGAGUAUGUGGUUUAAUUCGACGCAACGCGAAGAACCUUACCAGGUCUUGACAU
rnacentral:rRNA from 1 species